CAGCAGCCGCGGUAAUACGUAGGGUGCGAGCGUUAAUCGGAAUUACUGGGCGUAAAGCGUGCGCAGGCGGUGCUGCAAGACCGAUGUGAAAGCCCCGGGCUUAACCUGGGAACUGCAUUGGUGACUGCAGCGCUGGAGUAUGGCAGAGGGGGGUGGAAUUCCACGUGUAGCAGUGAAAUGCGUAGAGAUGUGGAGGAACACCGAUGGCGAAGGCAGCCCCCUGGGCCAAUACUGACGCUCAUGCACGAAAGCGUGGGGAGCAAACAGGAUUAGAUACCCCAGUAGUCCCUGUCUCUUAUAC
rnacentral:rRNA from 1 species